GACAGAGGGUGCAAACGUUGCUCGGAAUUACUGGGCGUAAAGCGCGUGUAGGCGGAUUGUUAAGUCAGAUGUGAAAGCCCUGGGCUCAACCCGGGAACUGCAUUUGAAACUGGCAGUCUAGAGUGAUGGAGAGGAAAGCGGAAUUCCUGGUGUAGAGGUGAAAUUCGUAGAUAUCAGGAGGAACACCGGUGGCGAAGGCGGCUUUCUGGACAUUUACUGACGCUGAGACGCGAAAGCGUGGGGAGCAAACAGGAUUAGAAACCCCAGUAGUCC
rnacentral:rRNA from 1 species